rnacentral:rRNA from 1 species
GAUCAUGCUCAGGAUGAACGCUAGCGGCAGGCUUAACACAUGCAAGUCGAGGGGCAACAUGAUUGGUAGCGAUACUGAUUGAUGGCGACCGGCGGACGGGUGCGUAACGCGUAUGCAACCUACCUAUUACAGGGGGAUAAGCUGAAGAAAUUCGGUCUAAAACCGCGUAAAACGGGNUAAGGCAUCUUAUUUUGUUGAAAUAUUUAUAGGUAAUAGAUGGGCAUGCGUGACAUUAG